rnacentral:rRNA from 1 species
UUGGAAACUGGUUAACUUGAGUGUUGUAGAGGUAAGUGGAACUCCAUGUGUAGCGGUGGAAUGCGUAGAUAUAUGGAAGAACACCAGUGGCGAAGGCGGCUUACUGGACAACAACUGACGUUGAGGCUCGAAAGUGUGGGUAGCAAACAGGAUUAGAUACCCUGGUAGUCCACACCGUAAACGAUGAAUACUAGGUGUUAGGAGGUUUCCGCCUCUUAGUGCCGAAGCUAACGCAUUAAGUAUUCCGCCUGGGGAGUACGACCGCAAGGUUGAAACUCAAAGGAAUUGACGGGGACCCGCACAAGCGG